CCUACGGGUGGCAGCAGUAGGGAAUAUUGCUCAAUGGGGGCAACCCUGAAGCAGCAACGCCGCGUGGAGGAAGAAGGUUUUCGGAUUGUAAACUCCUUUUGUUAGAGAAGAUAAUAACGGUAUCUCACGAAUAAGCACCGCCUAACUCCGUGCCAGCAGCCGCGGUGAUACGGAGGGUGCAAGCGUUAGUCGGAUUCACUGGGCGUAAAGAGCGCGUAGGCGGGGUAGCAAGUCAGAUGUGAAAUCCUAUGGCUUAACCAUAGAACUGCAUUUGAAACUGUUAUUCUAGAGUACGGGAGAGGUAGGUGGAAUUCUUGGUGUAGCGGUAAAAUGCGUAGAGAUCAAGAGGAAUACUCAUGGCGAAGGCGACCUGCUAGAACGUAACUGACGCUGAGGCGCGAAAGCGUGGGGAGCAAACAGGAUUAGAUACCCGAGUAGUC
rnacentral:rRNA from 1 species